UUAAGACGUCAAUAGUACAACAGAAUUUAACUAACAGUUUCAUCACUGACAUCAUCUUUGAAGGUACAGAUGAUUGCCUCCUUAUGUAUUGGGACAUAUUUCUUCAAGACAGGACUCUGCUUUCAUGUGGGAGGGAGAGGAAGGAGAGAGAAGAGGUGAGGGAGUCUUUAAGUGAAGUUAAUUAGAAAAUGUCCUAAUACAUAUGUGGCUUAUUUAAGCUGGUUACAAGAAAAAGGAGCCCAUUUCCUCAUGGUAGAGUGGAGCCAGCAGAAGAGGGGGUUCCUGUUUCUACAGCAUUUUCACCUCACCUGGGAUUUAGCGCUACAUGAAGACCUGUUUAGCAGAAGGAAAUGCUUUCCGACUACGACCUCUGAACGGUUUAAUUGGGAUUUAACUGUUCCUAUUUUUUCCACUCCAUGUGGGAGUCUGGAGCUCUGUUUACAAGCUUUCUCUAAGAAGAAAGGAAACGUCUGAGAAGGAAAAAUGGAAGGCACACUGCUGUUUACUAAAACUGAUGCAAAGUAGGUCAAACAACUGAAACAAACAGACUAAUCUCUGCUAUGGACACCUACCCAGAACUGGUUUUCAUGGGAAACAAAUGAGGAAAAUAUAGUCAGUGGUCCAGAUCUUGAUUUCAGCUACAAAUGGUAGAAAUUUAUAAUAGAUUACAAAGUGGGAACGUUUUUGUUUCCUGUCCCAUAAUGCUGAAAGUGGAUUUGGUCACUUUAUUCUGGGUUUUAUGAAAUUUCAGAUUUGUGGUGCAUUUCUGUAGAUUGCAAUGUAGAAAAUGUACAAAUCUGCUCGUCCAAGAAGCAGCAAUACUCAAAACACUGUAUUUGCUUAAGACUGUACCUGAGCAAUUAAUGUAUUUUUUUAUUUAAGGAAACAGAGCAAGAACUGCAUGGAACUAUGCCAAAAUUAGAUUCAAAGCAUAACUUUAUAUUGCAUUAAGUCAUAGGUCUAUUCUGGCAGCACGGGAAAAGUCUGCAUACAGAAAUGUGGAAAAUGAAUGAGAAAAACACUGAAAUGUAACUUUGAAUUGAGUUUCUUUGACCAUUUUGUUUUACUCAGCUUCAGAGUGCAUUAGCACGUUGAUAACAGAUUGAAACUUUUGUAUCUUGGUACUCUUUGAUCACUUGGGACAUCUGAAAGUUAUUUGAAUAUAUAGCAGCGCCUGUACUAUUGAGCAUUUGUCUUUUUAGGUUGGGAAUGUCCAUGUCUUAGGUCCUGUGGAACUCUCAAUGUUCAAAUUUUUGUACAACUUGUAGUCUUCUGAGGGAGAAAAGUAGGUGGCUUUCUCUGAGCUUUAAAUCCAGUAGCUCUGGAGUCAGGUUAUGGGUGAUCCUCUCAGAUCUCAGCUGUCAAAGGAAAGAAUACGUUAUGUCUUGAAUUGGGAAACGGUGGUCAAAAAAUGCAUUCUGAAUGCUUGAAAACAGGAAAGAUUUUUUUUUUCUCCCAAACUACUUUAAAAAGGAAAAAUAUAGUAGUUAAUCUUUUAUUUAUUUACUUAUUUGUUUCAUUUAACGGAAAACUGCAGUUAACAGUUCUGAGAUUUCUGUCCUCAAUUGACUAAGUCUGCUCCAUAUGGCUCAGGUAAACUCAAUCUUGCUUUCUUUUUUUCUUUUUUUUUCUUUUUUCCCCCCUCUCAUAUUUUGGGAGAAUUGGAAGUGGGGAGAGAAUUUCCAGGCUCACUGAACUUACUGCUCAGAACAAAUUUUGUUCAAGUCCCCACGUUUGUAAUUCUGGCAGCCUGUGAUACAUCAGUAAUCUCUAAUUCCCUUACUCCCUAAGAACUGUCAUUAUUUUAUGUAUUGACUAAUACAGUUGUCUCAGGGUAAAUUUCUCCUGAAAUCGAAGUUUACUUCUUGCAUUAGAAGUGAAGCCUACUCCCUUUUAUAACUGACAGAUUUCUUUUAUAACUUUGCAUUUAUUGAAGGCAGUCAAACCAGAAAUGUCUGGGAUUUUUGUUUGUUUAGUUUUAUGAUUUUGUUUUCAAUAAGGUAUUAACUGUACUACAAACAGAGCAAAUAGGAAGGUCAAAUACCUAUUUGUUGAUUUCAAGAUUUUUCUGGAAGAUGAGACCUGAAGGUAUCGGUAAAUAGAAAAUUCAGAGUCUUUGUAAACAGGAACGCCUUGAAAGCACCAAUGCCAACAAAAGCUUCUGCUUUGCUUCUAUGAAGAUUUUAUGUAGCCCCAACUAAUGAAUGCACAGAGUGUUUUAUAUGAAUUUAAAGAUAUUCUAAUAAACACUGUAAAACACAA